rnacentral:rRNA from 1 species
GAUGAACGCUGGCGGCGUGCCUAAUACAUGCAAGUCGAGCGAACUGAUUAGAAGCUUGCUUCUAUGACGUUAGCGGCGGACGGGUGAGUAACACGUGGGCAACCUGCCUGUAAGACUGGGAUAACUUCGGGAAACCGAAGCUAAUACCGGAUAGGAUCUUCUCCUUCAUGGGAGAUGAUUGAAAGAUGGUUUCGGCUAUCACUUACAGAUGGGCCCGCGGUGCAUUAGCUAGUUGGUGAGGUAACGGCUCACCAAGGCAACGAUGCAUAGCCGACCUGAGAGGGUGAUCGGCCACGCUGGGACUGAGACACGGCCCGGACUCCUACGGGGGGCAGCAGGAGGGAGUCUUCCGCAAUGGACGAAAGUCUGACGGAGCAACGCCGCGUGAGUGAUGAAGGCUUUCGGGUCGUAAAACUCUGCUGUUAGGGAAGAACAAGUACGAGAGUAACUGCUCGUACCUUGACGGUACCUAACCAGAAAGCCACGGCUAACUACGUGCCAGCAGCCGCCGUAA